AGUGUCUCACAAAUUUAGUUGAUUUCUUGACUUCUAACACAACGGGCGGCUCUUCUGGGGCAAAACGGCAGUAGAGUAGGCUUUGUGUGAGCAGGUUGUGGUGGACAAAAUUCCCGGUCGGGGACGGCCAGCUUUGAUAGUUGGCUCUGUUUUUUUUUCAUCCUCUGCUUCAUGUUCGAUAGGAGUGUAGUGUGUAAAAUUGAAGUGCUCUUCUGAGGAUUGCUAUUUUUAUCAGUGCCUGCGGAGGUUAGGAUCUAAGGAUCCGGAUUCCAGAUUUUCAAAGAAAGGAAGAAUUUUGGAGUGAAGUUUCCUAGAGGGACCCCAACCAACCAGUUUUAAGGGGUGCUUAUCGACCGGCUGUCAUGGGUAAAAAAUCGAGCGGCAGUCGUCUAUCAAAAUUGAAGCGUAGGAAAAACGAAAAAUGCCAGCCAUUUUCGCGUUCCCGUUCUGAUGCGUCCAAAUAAACAACACCCACCACCACCAUCAUCGUUAUCAUCAUCAACAUCGUGAUUGCCAACCCAACAUCAUCAUCAACCCCCAUCUCGAAAUCGGAUGAGUGAGUUCGUCGUCCCAUGUUCAAUGCCAAAUCAACGUCAAAAGCUUGUCAUCACGGAAACCCAGUGACGAAAAAACAGCCUUUUCUGCCUUCAGCGAAAACAUACAGAUAUGGCACGUAUCUAACUACCUAUCAACCUACGUCCUAUAAUUUUGGAAGGACGAGUAAAAAGGUGGAAUGGGAGAAAGGUAUACCUUUUCUACCCUCGAAGGACAUCAACAGAAUUGGAACGAAACGAAGGGAGAAACACACACGGCCACCAGAAAUAAAUAUACUGCCAUGGAGGGUGAUUUCUCGCUUCCAGUCAGUCAUCAGCAUUCGGAAUGGGAUCGAGGAAUGCACAGGAACACACACAUGCACGCACGGAUGUAAAGGACACACGCAACUUCCCGCCCGACAUAAGCCAACAAUUCACACAUACCUGCAAAUGCCCUCGAAGGAUACAGGUCGGUAGGGUGACGAAAAAAAAGAACAGACUUCCAUCAUCGUCCCCUACCAUUUGUAGGUUGUUGGAAGGGAAACUUUUUGAUUCCUACCUCUGCUGACACGGAACGGGGGUGCUGCCGGUUUCAUCCUUGAUUUCGGGCAAUCACGACAUUUGCGUUCGAGGAUAAUAUGUAUGCACGAAGAGCUACCGGCGCGGUGCGUCCUGAUUCGACACCAACGUUUUUCACUAACCAGUGAUGCCAGGAUUUCGUCAGAGAAGUGGCCAUUUAACUUAAAUACGGAUCUCCCGGCAUUCCUGGCACCCGAAAUGUAUGUUAACUCCGUAUCAGCGCCCGACCAGAAAACCCUCCUAGAAGGCCACGCGCACCCCGAAUGCUGGAACUGUAUUUAUGUCUUUCUCUCCGUGUGUUUGUAGGAAUUGGUACAUAAGUAGGUACCGCCAGGAUAUGCGUGAGCAUAUCCAAUGAAAACUAGAUCCUUUUAAAAUGGUCCUCCGUUCGUCCUUUCGUUCGUUCCUAUCCUUGGUUCCGUAUUAGGUGCGCACACGCCACCAAUACAAAUCGGAGGCAAAUAUUUGCCUACUGCGAUUUACACACCAUGGCACGGAAUCAAAAGUGGUAGCAGCAAAAAACGUUGAUUUUUCGCAUAUCACAGUGUUGGUGUCAUGAUUUUAUGCAAUAAUUUUCUCCCUCCCCUGGGGUUUUUCUUCGUUUUAGGUUUAUCGAUGGCAACGGCGAAGGAGACCGAAAAAACGCACCCUCUAAUCGGAAUGUGUCGACAGCAUUACCUCAAUCAAGCUGGUGAUUUUUUUGUAGGAAAAAAAAAUGAAUAUAUGGCAAAUAGGAACUAGAAAAGGCUCUAGGAUUAAUGUCACUACUGUUCGACUUUGAAGGCGCCAUCGACCUCUACAAACUGCAACCUGUAUCCAGGUGGGGAAAGUUCUUCGAACGAGUUUGUUUUUCCUUCGCUCAGGAACUGAAACCGGACAAAUAACAUUAAUCACUGCGUGUUUACCGCCAUUGUCGGGCAGUCGAGAGCAGUCUGGAAAACAUGCUUAAUUUUUUUCCGAGUUUCUCGAAUUUUCUUUCGUUGCAAAUUUUCCGGAAACUUUUCACAAAUCAUCCAUGGAGCCGAAGUGAACCAAAACGGGAAGCAACAGUGACCAGGAAGAAUUUCGUCGAUUUCUGUUCUACAUCUACCCUGUAGAUCCGAAUUUGUUUGAGAUUUUGACAAGCGACAAAUUCGGUUCUAGAGAGGUUUGUGUGGGGCAUUUGAUAACAACGGUUGACCGGAAAUGGUGGUGAACAAAAAAAAAGUGAAGUGUGGGAAAAGUGUGUGUGCAUGUAUUUCUAUUUCUCCGGUCAUCCAACGAAAUCGGCGAGAGUUUCCUGUGCGGAGAGAAUAUGGAAUUGGAACGAUAUCGGGUGGACAGCAACAGCAGAAAUGUGAGGUAAUUUACUGGUUAAAACCCGUUUUAAUUAAGU